UACGUAGGAUGCAAGCGUUGUCCGGAAUUACUGGGCGUAAAGCGUGCGCAGGCGGUUUUGUAAGUUUGUCGUGAAAGCCCCGGGCUCAACCUGGGAAUUGCGAUGAAGACUGCAAGGCUUGAAUCUGGCAGAGGGGGGUAGAAUUCCACGUGUAGCAGUGAAAUGCGUAGAGAUGUGGAGGAACACCGAUGGCGAAGGCAGCCCCCUGGGUCAAGAUUGACGCUCAUGCACGAAAGCGUGGGGAGCAAACAGG
rnacentral:rRNA from 1 species